UCCAGCUUCUCCCCAAACCAUCCUGGCUCUGAGGGGUGGCACCUGGCUGUGGGCGCCAUGAGUCGCUGGCUAGCAAGCAGUUGGACUCCAGGCUCAGAACCUGAGAAUCUUGGCGGUGGGGCAGGAUUGUGAGGCCGCAUUCUGUCCCCGGCGAGACCUGGCUUUGUCCAGUUCCUCCCGGGCCUCCCAACGCCCCCGAUGGCUCCUUCCCCCUGGCCAUCUGUCCGGUCCCUCCUUCAUGUCGGUCGCUGGCCCACCGGUGACUGCUUGGCUUCUGCUGGAGUUUAAGGGGGCUUUCCGCUGCCCCGUACUGAGGCACCCCCGCAUCAUUCCUGGGCGUGUCCCCAAGAACAGCCAUGGCCUCCACAGUGCAAGCUGAAGGGAUACCCACCCACCAUCCCAGGGUCUACAACAUCCACAGCCGGACCGUCACCCGCUAUCCUGCCAACUCUAUCGUGGUCGUGGGAGGCUGUCCCGUCUGCAGGGUUGGGGUGCUGGAGGAUUGCUUCACCUUCCUGGGCAUCUUCCUGGCCAUCAUCCUCUUCCCCUUUGGGUUCAUUUGCUGUUUUGCCUUGAGGAAGCGACGAUGCCCCAACUGUGGAGCCACCUUCGCUUAAAGGGAACACCAGGCCCGGCUUUCCUACACCCAGCUCUCUUUUUCUAAUGUAAAUGUUGUGUACAAUAGUUUUAUUUGAUUAAGCUUCAGGACUGUUUUGUAAAGCGAGGUGGGACCGAUGUGGCACACGCCAGCUGCGGUUUCCCGGAGCGUGGAGAGGCAGCGCUGCUGCUCCCGCCCGAGGCUUAUGACAACUCAAUAAAGCACUGCUUUUAUUUUUUGCAGUCUUCAAUUUGAGAAAGGUGAGAAAUAAUGUUUUCAAUAAAUGAGAUUCAUACCAUUGUUGACCUGGUGCUGCUUACUCGGUGCUUUCAGACACCCAGGAAAGACUGGAACGACGACCCCAUCGCUCCCCCGGC
rnacentral:lncRNA from 1 species